CCGAGUGUGUGUCUUCUGUCGAGUACCGUCCCUAUCGCGGUGUAUCUGAGCUAAUAUCUGUGUGCGUCGCCCUUACUCUGCACGCGCGUGUGUUUUUGGCUGCUUUGAUGCUUUUUCGUACGGCAUUUGUUUUCUUCCUUUUCUUGAUGGAGCCUGCCUCCACGGUGCACGUGGGAUACGUAUGCGCAGGUGCCCGUUGGCGUGUGCGCCAUAAACAUCUCUACGUAUGUGCAUAUGUGUGUGUGUGUGUGCCUUUAUUCUUCCUUUGAUGUUGUGUGCAUGUGCGCAUCCUUUUUGUUUCGGCGGCACAGCUCCGUGUGCACGCCUGUGCAUGUGGUGACUCUUCGUGCUCUCUUAUGCUGUGUUGGCCGCUGGCGCCCCCCUUCCUCAUCCUUCUCCCCCUCUGCGUGAGUGCGGCCGCCUCCAUUUCGUAUUUCCAAUCCUCAUCCCCUGUUGUGACCCCCUCCCUCUUCAUUGUGUCUUUUUUUGUCUCUGUAGGUGCACGGGCUUGGAGAGUGUGCGCGGUAUCGUAUCAUCACGUGCUGCCCCCCUUCCCUCCUGCUUUCGAGCAUCGCGUUUGUUCUCUCCAGCGGCCGGCAGUGGGCGCGAAUUGGGCGAAUGCAUGCGCGCGGGGGGGGAGAGGCGGUGGCGGGUCUUGCAUCAUUUCGCUGUGCGAGACACUCUGCGUUGUGUCCUGGUGCAUGCUCGGGUUUCCCUUCUUAUUUCUUGACUUGGCGAGAACUGCGGCCGAUUCCGUGCUUUUUUCUUUAUCCGCUUCUUGCGUGUGCCUCUGCUGACGUGUGUGAAAUUCGAGUGUCCGCGUACGCCCCCCACCCUCUACUCUCUCUCUCUCUGUGUUGUGGAGGAGUGGGCGGCGGAAGCCAGGCAGCCCCUCCCUCCUCCAGCCCUGCCGAUUGCCUGACCCCACUUCUCGCUGUGGCAGGGCCGCGCGCAUGAGACUUGGGGAGGUCAGUGCGAUGCGUCGCUACUGAUGCCGGCGGUGAGGUCGUGGGUGGUGCUGCCUCGGAGCGACCUGCGACCGUGCACACGCUUGUGCCACCCAUGUGACUGGGCAGCGUGACUCGAACGCAUCCCACACCCGACCCUCACACGGCCCACUGGUGCUGCGGGGAGCCUGCGCCACUCGUGGGGACGCACCAGGUGGCGGCCGACAUGAUGCGGCUGGCUGCGAGGCGACGUGCGAAGCGCAGGGGUGGGUGGAGUUGGAGGCAAAGGCCGCGCCGAUAUGACCUUGCCUGCAUUGUUAUCGCGCAUAUGCACACGGCUGCCUCGCGCCGCGCGGAUGGGCGUGUGUGUGUGUGUGACCGGCGGGGCAGAGUGCGGCGUUCAGCUCGUGCUGCAUGGCGGAGAAAUGGCAUCGCUGAACGAACAAGAAAUGAAGUGAGUCGAACUCUCCCUUUCGCGUUGCUCUUUCCUGGCUCCACGCAGGCAGACGCACGAGCGUCCACAAGGCGUACGCGGCGUUGGUAUGAGGGGCGGCUCGAGGCCUUUUCGUUCGUUACUCUUCGUGCACGGAUCUCGUCCGGCUGACUUCUUGUGCACCGCCUCGCCACUGUGCAACGUGAAGAAGCAGAGGGGUGAACGAGACACAAAAGGGUGACGGCAACGCAGCGGCUCGACGGACUUGCCCGUGCACAGAGGUGCACCUG
rnacentral:misc_RNA from 1 species